rnacentral:pre_miRNA from 1 species
CCCCUCCCCAGGCAGCAGAGGGCAGAGUGGGAGAGGGCAGCAUUGGUGACCCUUCUCCGACUCUGCCCUCCCAGGACUGGACCU